GCAGCACCUCUUCAGCGAAGCGGGAGGAGGAAAGCAAGGGGUUCCGUAAGGGCUCCCUUCGUUUCCUCCUCCCGCAUCGCUGAAGAAUGUUGC